UUCCUGUUCUUAUUUCCAGAGUGUAGCUGCAAGAUCUGCUCCAUAAGCUCCUAAAAACAUUAUCCUCCAUUAUCCAUUGCAGAAGGAUUACUAUCCAAGGAGGUCCAUAUAAUACCAAGAAAAGCUAUUCCCUUUCAUCUCAGCUGGCAUAAAAGCUCCUACAAAAUAAUGGUUGCAGGGGGAGAAAGUUACAGAGCAAGAUCCAAUUAUAAAGGGGCGGUGAAGAACCCCAGACAUGACACGCAGCGAACAGCAGAUAGGGAGGAGGAGCAGGAAACUCAAGCAGGUGUUGAGACUCCUCUUUGACUGAGGGCGAACAGAUUGCCUCCAUCCUGCCAGCGCUCAUCUGCAUGGUAAUAUCAGCUGCCCCCUGCUAACCAGACAAAAUGAUAAGACCUUCUGCCACAAGCGCGACUGAGCCGGAGGGCUGAGGAGGAGAUGAUGUGACUCAGGGAGAUUUCUGCCUGGUUGCUCUCUGCAGGCUGCGUGAAGGGGAAGGUAACCAGCAGGUGGGCCGAGGCUUGAAGGAAUUUUCCAGCACAUGAAGGAAAUAGAACAAAAUAGUUUCUGUGUCACAGUGAGCAAAUAGCACCCUCAAUCAGAAAGCACAUGACCUGUCACACACGCUGAACUUGAACAUACACAGACACACUCCCAAUGCAUCUGUACUUAUGAUAUAAAACCCCUUCUUAGCCCUGCAGCUGAUGCUAUAGUGAUGCAGUGAUACUUGUGACAUUUCAUGCCCAGCAAUACCCCUCUCCCAUAAGCAUA